AAAUAUGACUUUCCAAACCUGGUACGAAGGCCUGCAACCUACCGCUUCAGAACUUAAACCUACUUCUAAAGCACACACUGAUCUAUUAACUAUACUUCUAGUAGAUUACAAUCACACCUCCUAUACAAGUCGAUUAUAGAACUCCUACGACUUCUGGAGAACAUAUUUCUCAUACAAAGCAAGGAUGUCUUUUUUGUUUGGAUUCCUCAAAUGGAGGAGCUCCGCACCAAAAUUAUGUUUUGUGAGUUCUUGCUUAAGUUUCUGCACCGUGAAUUUGGUAUAAUCUUCCGGAUCAGUUUGUUGACUGUGGUUAUCCUCAUCACCCUUGAACACUGAACCACCAUCUUCUGGCUGUGUGUUCUUUAAAGGGCUUGUUGUGCUUCUGGACUUCUUACUAGGUCUUAAAAUCCUGUCAUUUGUACCCAUGUCUUGAACAGAUCCUACACCCAUUUCAAUAUCAUCAGUUCUAAUGCGUUUGCCAUGGGAAGCAGCCUUUAGCUUACUGUCCAAUGCUGACUCAUUCAAACGAACUGAUGUCAACUCCUGUUGGAGUGAAUCAAGCUUUGCCCGUGCUGCUUCCAACUGAAGAGAAAGGUCUUCUGCCCUUUUGUUUGCAACACUAUGGGCUUUACGCUCAUAAUCCAGAAGAUCCUUAAGGCCUUUAACCGUACUAGCCCUCUGCUCAUUAUUCGAUUUCAGCAGUGACUCUAUUUCUUUCUCCCUUUCUUCAACUCUUGCCUCUAGAAGUGAAACUUUCGAAAGAGCCUCCAUCUCUGACACUCUUAUUCUAUCAACUGCAUCUGCUAAAUCAGUUCUCUCUCUUUCCAAACUUUCAAUAUGCCUCUGAGCCCUCUCAAUUUGGGCUAAUCUUUCAAUUGCCAAUUUCUGAAGCUCACUCUUUUCCUUUUGAGCAGAUGCUGCAUCAGCACGUGCUUUAUCAGCCAAUUCAGUAGCCCUCUUAGAUUCCUUUUCAGCAUGGUUACACCUUUCCUGGACUUCUGCAAACCUCUCAAACUCAGAUCGGUACUUCUGCUCCAAAUGGAUCUUCUCUUGCUCCAGUAUCCUAGCUUCUCUUUCAUAAGAUUGUGCCCUAGCAUUCACAGACUCCAAUUUCUCAACCACCUCUUUGAUUUCAAGCUUCAGGGAUGAUAUUUCGGAAUCAUAACUCUUAAUUUUUGAUUCAGCAGCCUUUAACUCCAAGUUUAUAGUUGUCAUACAUUGCUCAGCAUACUCUAUCUUCCCAUUUUUCUCCUUUAUUUCCUCUUCCUUUUUUGCCAAACGACUAGAAAAUUCCUCUCGCAAAGCAUCUUCCCUCAAUUGCGUUUCUUUGCUCGUUCGCUCUUGCACAAUUGUUGCCUUCUCAAGAGCAGCUUUUGUUUCUCUUACAGUAAUGUCAUACUUCCGUUUCCACUCUUCUGCCUCUUCUUUAGCUGACCUGGUAUGCUCAUGAGCAGCAGCCAGCCUUGCCUCUGCAGCGCUGGUUCGAGACCUAAGAAUUCCAAUUUCUGAAUUUAUCUGGCCUUCAUCAGCUUUCUGCUUUGAUAACAAUUGGUCAUGUUUUCUUUUCCAGUCUGAGGCUUCUUGCUUAGUAGAUUCCAGUGUUUUCAAUAAGCUAGAACACCUCUCAUCUAGUGAACUGCGACUGCUCUGCAAGUCAGACAUGCGCUUCAUAAAGUCAUCAGAUAGCUUCUUCUUCUCUCUGAUAGCUUCAUCAUAACGUUUCAUGUAUUCAGACCUAUGUUUCUCGCUAGCUUCCAGUUGCUUGUUAAGCAUUUCCAUCUUAUCCUCAAUUGAGCGACAUCUUAAUGAGAGGGAAGUCUUCUCAGUUGCAAUUUGAUCAUUAAGCCUCUUGGCAAGGUCACGGAUUGGACCUUCCAAACUUUGUUGUAGGAAAGUAACCAAUUUCUGCCAUUUCCCUGGGCCAUGACAUGAUUUAUCAUACUCAGAUAGAAGGCUGUCGAGAACCUUCACAACAUUAUCCACAUUCGCAUCCAAAGCAUGACAAGCUGCUCUGAGUCUUUUUUCCAUGCUUUGUAUUGCAUUUGAGCAUUGCAAGUCUGCCUCUAUAAAUGCAUUCUUCUUAUACUCCUCAAAUUUCUUUUUGAAGAAUUUAUGCAGAAGUCCUUCAUAUUUUGUCCUUGCCGAACCAAUCCCCACAGCACUAGCAUUAAAUGCAGCGAUUGAUUUUUGAACUGCUUCAUCAUGUGCUUCCCUCAGAGCAGCUUCCUCAGCUGGCUUCGAAUGGUCAAAAGUGGACAUAUAAACUUCAGUGGCAGUGUCAUGUGCUUUUCGACACUCAGCUUCUUCAACACUCUGCCACGAAGAGGAUAUUGUGGGCACUGCACCAUUAUUAAGAGCCUCCAAAUAAGAUUCUGUGACACCAACAAGAAUCGGGCCUGUCAUUAUAGUGGCCCCAACUUGCUUAGGCCUUGUUCUCUCAAAAACAAAUUUGGUAAGUGCAUCCAGCCCAGAUCUAAACUCAGGCCUUAAUUUGUCCAACGAUAUUUGAUCCAGUCGUUGGAGUUCAUUUUCAUUGUUCAAAGGCCUCACGAGGGUGAAGCAUUCUCUAUCUGGAAAGAGAGCUCGAAUGGAGUCUCGAAUCUCAUUUUUGGCAGCUAUAUCUCUUCCACUACCUUGAACAGGCCUUAGGGCAAGCUCUAGAUAGUCACGGGGUGUUAUUUUCCUAUCAUCCUCUACUAAAUCCAGAUAGAAAUCCCUUAGAAGCCAAACAAAUAUAGGGGAGAAUUGUCCAAGUUCAGAAGCUUUACUCUUUCCUCCUGAAGCUCUCACUCGAAUGUGUUUUGUCAUUUCAGUGACAAGAGAGAGACGAUCAAGUGCAGCUUCAUCUAUACCACCCAUCUGAUU
rnacentral:misc_RNA from 1 species